UGAAAUACACAACAUGAAAGAAUGCGAUUGAGCAUGCCACUUACUUACGGCUCCAUCACCAUCAAUCGAUCGUCUGUACCAUCUCCGAUCGGUGACACCCGCCGUCAAAUCUCCCUCGCCGGUCACCGCAACCUCGGCCGCGACAGAGCAGAGAAGGGACGCUCAUCACCACCGAUCGAAACUUCUCUUGUGCUCUUUCUCCCUCGCUUGGUGCGUGCGUGAGAGCUGAGGAACCGAGCGAAGCAAGAAUGCACGCGCACAGACCGAGAAAAAUAUCUUCCUCUCUCAUCUUGAGCGCUCUGGACCAAAUCCAGUGUCCAUGCCCGCGGUCGAAGCCAGUUGCAUCUGAAUAUCUUCAUCGAGCAAUUUCGUCGCUGAAUUGAUUCGUCUCCUUAGCUUCGGCUUCGUGAGAUUCUCCAAGUCUUUCAGUGUCUUCAUUUAUUAGCAGGUAACCAUUCAGAUCGGAUCUCCCCAAGGUAGGACGGAGUCGAUUCAUCGAGACUCGAUCAUACAAUUGUUCUGUGUUUGCCUUUUACCGAGAGCUUCAAAUUGUUAUCUCAAAUUGCUCAUGUUAUAUUGCUUGCCGAUUUAUAGGAAUUCCUAUUUGUAGAACACCUCACCCUUCAUGAUCACCACUAGUUCGACGUUUUGCCUCAGAGAUGAUAAUGACGAAUUUGUUUGUAUCAUCGAUCAAGCCGAGAUUGCAUAGAGUGAUCUGGAUGUUCUUGUUUGACAUGCUGAUCAUAUAUUGUGAAUUUUGAUGCUUCAUCCUUUGAUGGCAGGGAGUUCUCUUUCCCUUGGUGCUUCAGUUUACUUUGUCUCCUUUGGUUGUGUGACUGAAUUGUCGUCUCGUAUAAUAACAGAUUCUACAGUCAGAUGACAUCGGUUCAAGAGGUGGCUCCCACCACAUGACAGUUUAUCCUAACGAGGUUCAAGAGGUGGCUCCCACAGUGUUAUACUUUGUCACAUGUGGCAUUUUGUUUGCAUUGUACACAAAUGUCAGUCCAUUUUUUAUGCGCAUGCAUGAUGUCAUCUGUUCAUGUAUAUCAUGCUCAACAUCUUACAUAAUGAAUAAUGAUUUUUCAAGCAGGUUUGUGGUACAUAAAUAUGUACUGGCUUUAUGGUAUUCAAUAAGAGUAGUGAUUCCUGAGCCAAAGGAAUCUACCGAAUCUAUGUUUACCAAAUUGAGCUGGCUGUAGAAGAACUUUUUACAUGUCUGCUUGCUAAAUUCCAAUUCAAAAUCUGUAGUUUCUACUUUCCCUUUGAUAUUAAGAAGAGCAGUGUACUAGACCUAAAUUUGGUGAUAGCAACUUGGAAUUUUCUUUGCAGGAUUUCAGUGCAUAGAUUUAAUUCUUAGCUCAUAAAUCCGAAAAUUCUCAAUAUGAAUAUUAGUAUCUUUUGGCUUGAUCAACAUGACAAUAUGAGAGAGCAAACUUGCUUCAUGUCAUAGGGUGUGUUUGACUGAUACCUUCCGUGACUCUGAUAAUGACUUAUUCUUGGAAAAUCUAUUCAAUAGUUAUUUUAUGAGUGAGUGAAUAGAUGAUAUGUAAAGAUUAUCUGUCUGAUAGUUUUACGAAAUGAGACUGUAUAUUAUGUUUUCCAGUUUAAAAAAGAAGGAGUAGGUAAAAAGGUAUUUUGGUUUUAUAAUGUACCAUUAGUUCUUGAAUUUUUUGUAGUCAAUUGAGAUCUAAACAACCUAAUUUUAUUUUAACUCCUUUACAACUGUGGUACUCUAUCCUCUUGUCUUCGUCAAAGAGUUUAUUUGCACGUCAUAAGUUCACGCUUGAUCAAAGGCUGGGGCACAAUUACAAGGAGAUAAUGGAGUGCCACGAAGGAAAUGAUGAUUGAUGAGGCGGAGAGCAAGGGUGAUAGUCUCUUUGGACUGCUCUGUUUUGUCCGAAAUUCCAUGAGGUAAGAAUGGAACAAGAUCAUCCAUGAAUUUCGAAUGAUGGCUUGGGUGUAGGGUGAGAGUAUAGAGCUUCGAUAGCCAUUGACAGCUGCGUGAACAAGAUUAUCUCCCACUGCCAGUGCUUGUCCCUUCUCUAUUUCAUCUUAAGAAACCCCACUGCUUUCUGUCGGCCAGGUGUUCGUGAUUUUGCCUAAAUGAAUCCAGCUUCAAACACCCACUCUUCCUACCCCAAAAAAACAAACAACUACAGGUUUAAAUGUGUUGACUACUAUUAUUUCAA